GGUGAGGAAGUCUGCAGAUGAGGUGAGGCCUUUCAGGAAGCUCGAUGGUGAAGAAUCCGCCUGCCAAUGGAGGAGAUACACAUUGGAUUCCUGGGUCGUGGUGUUCUGGCACUUCACUGGAAACCUGAACUUCCACAAAGAUUCUCUCAUCUGCAGAGCCACCUACUGCCACGAUGUUCCACCAUGACACCUGAUCAACACGGGAGACCUGACUCCCAUCUUCCUGUGCAGUAAAAGCUGUCUCUGUCUAAGCAGAACCUGAGAUAUUCUCAGGAGAAACCUUCAGGAAGGGAACCAGGGAGGAAGUUAGAGGAUCAUCAGCCAAAGUCUACACUCACACUGUUCCUGCAGGGAGCCCUGGGGUUCUUACCUCAUUGCUGCUGCAAAUGCUCUCCUUUAAAGCAAGGGAACUGGGUUUCUCUUCCAUUUCAUCAACCACUGAUUGGAGGGUCUUGCCAGGAAAAGGCACAGCUUCCCAGUCCAUUCCAGGUAAUGUGGUUUCCACAGGACAAGG
ensembl:lncRNA